GUGCUUGCUUUGGCAGCACACAUGCUAACAUUGGAACGAUACAGAGAAGAUUAUUAUGGCCCCUGCACAAGGAUGACAUGCAGAUCCAUGAAGCGUUUCCUGUUUAG
ensembl:snRNA U6 U6 spliceosomal RNA